AGAGCUCCAAGUCAGAAGAAGUCAGACUCUGAGGCAUUUGACCCAGAGGUCAGUGCUCCAUGGAGAGCAGAGUCCCUGACCAGAGAUCAUCUUGGCUCUGUUUGGAAUUUGUUGCUGUAGAAAUAGCAGAGAUAUCAACAAACUCAUGUUCCUGGGGCUGGACAGGCUGAUGAGCCCAUCUGCAGGGCAGGAAUAGCCAGAAGAGAAAAUUGAGCAAGAAUCUAAUGAUGACCUAGAGGAGAACCAGGAAACAGAGGACCUGAAAACAACAUGAAUUUGGAACGUGAAAAGCAAAUCCAGUUACUCAAUACAGUAGGAGAGCCUACGUGAGACUUGGUGAAGAGCAGUCAGGCUUCCCAAGAAAAGACUAUGCUCAUGCCUCAGAGAAGUCAGACCUCUGCUGCAUCUGCUCACAUGGGACCUUCCUCAUGUCCUGGUGCUGAAGGUCCCUGAUCUAUAUUUGACACAAUAUGAUGUCUUCUACUGCAAGACUUCAUAAACAGAACAAUGGAUGAAAAUAACUAAACAAGCUGUCCAUGACUGGUUUUAGGUCAAAGCUUAACCUCAAAGUUGCUCAUCUUAAAGCAGAAAUGAUGUGGCUUACAGGGAGGACAAGGGGAUUCAAUAAUGAAAUACAAUAAGAUGCAGAAUAGCAUAGCUACCAGGUGCUAAAGAUAGACACAAAUCUGGAGCUGGCCCCAACAUCAAGGAAGAGGUGGCUCAUUGAACUAUAACCUUAUGCAGAAGAGAGAUUGGUAUUACAAUGAUUAAAAUUACAAGACCCCAAAAGUCUUUUCCCAACAGAUACUGGACAUGAGUUGGGUGUGCAGAGUGAGUACCCUAAAGUCGGGUUGAUAAAUGAAGUGAGAUUACAAAUUGUCAUGUCCACUAUCAUUGUAACAUCAAUUCUGUGAUGGGAAGCACCUCAGAAGAAUUCUGCUUCAGAACCGUGUUGCUAAGCAUGUAGGACAUUACUGGGCUUGAUCACAGAGAAAAGUGAGUUCCAUGGAAGGUUUGAGUUACAGAUGCAUUCUAGGUCUAAAACCACCUAGAAUACCUAAAAGAAUUCUGCAUUUCUUUAAGUUUGCUUCACUCUAUACUGCACAGUUAUAAAAUUUAACCUAACACCUCAGGGUGGGCAGAAAUGGGCAGGGCAUCUUUAUGAACCAUGACUUGCUUCUCGGUGUCAUCUGAGAUCUACGAAGAGCACAGGGAAAUCUGACAGGAAGCUGUCAGCCUACUUCUCAUCUUAAUUAACGUCUUAUAUGACUGCAGUUUUGUUCAUGACUGUCACACUGUGUUGAAAAGAUUUCAGAAGAAAAACUUAUUGCUUGUAGACCUUAGAUUUGAGCAAGUGAGGGUAGUCAAAAGAAAAUAGUUGGUUAACGUCAAUUUUACAGAAAGACUUCAAUAUCUGUAACUACAUGUCUUUUAACUAUUGGAGGUGAUAAUAAAUUGCUGAUAUCAGUUCAAAGAACAAUGUUCCCUAUC
rnacentral:lncRNA from 10 species